rnacentral:rRNA from 1 species
AUGCCUAGAUCUCGUGUAAAUGGAAAUUUCAUUGAUAAGACAUCCUCAAUUGUAGCCAAUAUUUUAUUGCGAAUAAUUCUGACAACCUCAGGAGGAAAAAAGGCAUUUACUUAUUAUAGAGAUAUUGCUAUUUGGAUGUUGGCUCAAUCCGAAGGAAAUUAUGCGGAACCUUUGCAAAAUUAUCAUGAAGCUACGCGACUAGAAAUCGAUGCCUAUGAUCGAAGUUAUAUACUCUAUAACAUAGGCCUUAUACACACAGGCAAUGGAAAGCAUACAAAGGCUUUGGAAUAUUAUUUCCGGGCACUAGAACGAAACCCCUUCUUACCGCAAGCUUUUAAUAAUAUGGCAGUGAUCUGUCAUUACCGAGGAGAACAUGCCAUUCUACAGGGUGAUUCGGGAAUUGCAGAAGCUUGGUUUGAUCAAGCUGCCAAAUAUUGGAAACAAGCUAUAGCGCUUACUUCAGGAAAUUAUAUUGAAGCACAUAAGUGGUUGAAGAUUACGAAGCACUUUGAAUUUCAAUAA